AACGACAGUAUGAGUGAGGCUGCCGAACCAGGAAGAGCAAGCACCAAGAACUUCUCCUCUCGUCCUAUGCUGACCAGUUUGAGGUAAGGGCAAUGUGGUGGAGUAUAAGGAGUACAGAUAAAGUUCUGGUUGGGUUACAAAUCUUGACCCCUAUUCUUCCCCAUACUGUGAAGAGCUCAAUCCAGCCUAUUGGAAGAUGAGAGGCCAUGUGGAGAAGAAUCAAGAUAUCCUAGCCAACAGCCCGCACUAAGUGCCAAG